rnacentral:ncRNA from 1 species
AAUAGAUAAUAAAUAAUUAUGUUUAAAAAAAUUUAUUAAGAGUUUAUUUUAUAUAUAAAUUUUAGUGUUAAUUUUUUAUUAUUUUAAUAAUAAUAAUUUAAAAAUUGUAGUAAAUAAAAUUAAAAAUUUAAGAAAUUAAGAUUUAGUAAUACAAAAAUUGAUAACAAAUUUUGUGCCAGCAGUUGCGGUUAUACAAAAGUUAAAUUAAAUUAUUUCAGUUUAUAAAUAAUAAAUUUAAAUUAAAAUAAAUAUUGAAUUAUAAGGUGAAAUUUUAAUUCAAUUAAAUUUUAUAUAAAAAUUAUGUUUUAAUAAAUUUUAUUUUAAACUAGGAUUAGAUACCCUAUUAUUAAAAAUUUAAAUUAUAAUACUAAAAUAGUAAAUAAUUAUUUAUUGAAACUUAAAUAAUAUGGCGGUAUUUUAGUUCAUUUAGAGGAAUCUGUUUAAUAAUUGAUAAUCCACGAAUAAAUUUACUUAAUUUAAUAUUUUAUAUAUCGUUGUUAAAAAAAUAUUUUUUAUAAAAAAUAAUAUUUAAAAAUUUAGAUAAAAAAUUAAUUCAGAUCAAGAUGUAGAUUAUAAUUAAGAAUAUAAUGGAUUACAAUAAAAUUAUUUAAAUGAAUAUGAAAUUGAAAAAUUUUAUUGAAGGUGGAUUUAAAUGUAAUUUUAUUUAAUUUAAUAAAAUGAUUAAAAAUUAAAAUAUGCACACAUCGCCCGUCGCUUUCAUAUAUAAAUUGAAAUAAGUCGUAACAAAGUAGAAGUACUGGAAAGUGUUUCUAGAAAGAA